AAACUUGGAAACUAGAGUUCGGUAGGGGUAGCAGGAAUUCCCAGUGUAGCGGUGAAAUGCGUAGAUAUUGGGAAGAACAUCGGUGGCGAAGGCGUGCUACUGGACCGUAACUGACACUCAGGGACGAAAGCUAGGGGAGCGAAAGGGAUUAGAUACCCCUGUAGUCCUAGCUGUAAACGAUGGAAACUAGGUGUGGCUUGUAUCGACCCGAGCCGUGCCGUAGCUAACGCGUUAAGUUUCCCGCCUGGGGAGUACGCACGCAAGUGUGAAACUCAAAGGAAUUGACGGGGGCCCGCACAAGCGGUGGAGUAUGUGGUUUAAUUCGAUGCAACGCGAAGAACCUUACCAGGGCUUGACAUGUCGCGAAUCUCGGUGAAAGCUGAGAGUGCCUUCGGGAGCGCGAACACAGGUGGUGCAUGGCUGUCGUCAGCUCGUGUCGUGAGAUGUUGGGUUAAGUCCCGCAACGAGCGCAACCCUUAUCUUUAGUUGCCAGCAUUAAGAUGGGCACUCUAGAAAGACUGCCGGUGACAAACCGGAGGAAGGUGAGGACGACGUCAAGUCAGCAUGCCCCUUACGCCCUGGGCUACACACGUACUACAAUGGUUGGGACAAAGGGCAGCGACUCCGCAAGGAAUAGCGAAUCUCAUCAAACCCAGCCUCAGUUCAGAUUGCAGGCUGCAACUCGCCUGCAUGAAGGAGGAAUCGCUAGUAAUCGCAGGUCAGCAUACUGCGGUGAAUUCGUUCCCGGGCCUUGUACACACCGCCCGUCACACCAUGGAAGCUGGUCACGCCCGAAGUAGUUACCCUAACCUUUCGAGGAGGGGGAUUCCUAAGGCAGGGCUAGUGACUGGGGUGAAGUCGUAACAAGGUAGCC
rnacentral:rRNA from 1 species